rnacentral:lncRNA from 1 species
GGCCGGCAAUGGUGCGUACUUCUAAGUUCUAAGUAAACAAACUAAGGCCAACGUGAUGGUGGUUGAUAUAUUACUAUCAAAGCAUUGAUCCCACCAUGUUAGGGGCCAAAACUAGUGGAAUGUUCUGACACCGACCAUCCGAUCGAUAUCGUGUGACUCCAACUAACACUAAUCAUUGUUCGGUAGGACCAUGAUCAUUGAAGCAAAGAACGUGUGCUAUUAAAUACAACCACGCCUUUUAAUAUACUCUUAAAAGUGACCUAGUUCUGCAAGGAUGCCAGCUUGGGGACACCAAAGCUGUCCCUAGGUUGCCCC